GAUGUACGCUGGCGGCGUGCCUAAUACAUGCAAGUCGAGCGAACAGACGAGGAGCUUGCUCCUCUGACGUUAGCGGCGGACGGGUGAGUAACACGUGGAUAACCUACCUAUAAGACUGGGAUAACUUCGGGAAACCGGAGCUAAUACCGGAUAAUAUAUUGAACCGCAUGGUUCAAUAGUGAAAGACGGUUUUGCUGUCACUUAUAGAUGGAUCCGCGCCGCAUUAGCUAGUUGGUAAGGUAACGGCUUACCAAGGCAACGAUGCGUAGCCGACCUGAGAGGGUGAUCGGCCACACUGGAACUGAGACACGGUCCAGACUCCUACGGGAGGCAGCAGUAGGGAAUCUUCCGCAAUGGGCGAAAGCCUGACGGAGCAACGCCGCGUGAGUGAUGAAGGUCUUCGGAUCGUAAAACUCUGUUAUUAGGGAAGAACAAAUGUGUAAGUAACUAUGCACGUCUUGACGGUACCUAAUCAGAAAGCCACGGCUAACUACGUG
rnacentral:rRNA from 1 species